AGAGUUUGAUCAUGGCUCAGAACGAACGCUGGCGGCGUGCUUAAUACAUGCAAGUCGUACGAGAAAGUCCGGCUUCGGUUGGACGAGUAAAGUGGCGAACGGGUGAGUAACACGUGAGGAACAUGCCCUGAUGUCUGGGAUAAUCCUGCGAAAGCGGGCCUAAUACCGGAUUCAGUCAUGAGAAGGCAUCUUCUUAUGAUUAAAGGUGGUUGAGUCUAUGCCACCGCAAUGGGAUUGCCUCGCGCUCCAUUAGUUUGAUGGUAGGGUAACGGCCUACCAUGACCGCGAUGGAUAGCCGACCUGAGAGGGUGACCGGCCACACUGGGACUGAGAUACGGCCCAGACUCCUACGGGAGGCAGCAGUAGGGAAUAUUGCGCAAUGGGCGAAAGCCUGACGCAGCAACGCCGCGUGGAUGAUGAAGCUUCUUGGAGUGUAAAAUCCUGUCAGUGGGGACGAACCGUGUGAGGAGGAAAUGCCUCAUGCCUGACGGUACCCGCAGAGGAAGUUCCGGCUAACUCCGUGCCAGCAGCCGCGGUAAUACGGGGGGAACAAGCGUUGUUCGGAUUCACUGGGCGUAAAGGGCACGUAGGCGGGAAGGCAAGUCAGAUGUGAAACCCCGGGGCUUAACCGCGGGCCUGCAUUUGAAACUGCCUUUCUUGAGUACGGGAGAGGAUGGCGGAAUUCCUGGUGUAGCGGUGAAAUGCGUAGAUAUCAGGAAGAACACCGGUGGCGAAGGCGGCCAUCUGGACCGAUACUGACGCUGAGGUGCGAAGGCCAGGGGAGCAAACAGGAUUAGAUACCCUGGUAGUCCUGGCAGUAAACGAUGGGUACUAGGUGUGGGGGGUAUCGACCCCCCCCUUGCCGCAGCUAACGCAUUAAGUACCCCGCCUGGGGAGUACGGCCGCAAGGUUGAAACUCAAAGGAAUUGACGGGGGCCGCACAAGCGGUGGAGUAUGUGCUUAAUUCGACGCACGCGAGACCUUACCUGG
rnacentral:rRNA from 1 species